rnacentral:rRNA from 1 species
AUAAUGGGUCAGCGACUUAUAUUCUGUAGCAAGGUUAACCGAAUAGGGGAGCCGAAGGGAAACCGAGUCUUAACUGGGCGUUAAGUUGCAGGGUAUAGACCCGAAACCCGGUGAUCUAGCCAUGGGCAGGUUGAAGGUUGGGUAACACUAACUGGAGGACCGAACCGACUAAUGUUGAAAAAUUAGCGGAUGACUUGUGGCUGGGGGUGAAAGGCCAAUCAAACCGGGAGAUAGCUGGUUCUCCCCGAAAGCUAUUUAGGUAGCGCCUCGUGAAUUCAUCUCCGGGGGUAGAGCACUGUUUCGGCAAGGGGGUCAUCCCGACUUACCAACCCGAUGCAAACUGCGAAUACCGGAGAAUGUUAUCACGGGAGACACACGGCGGGUGCUAACGUCCGUCGUGAAGAGGGAAACAACCCAGACCGCCAGCUAAGGUCCCAAAGUCAUGGUUAAGUGGGAAACGAUGUGGGAAGGCCCAGACAGCCAGGAUGUUGGCUUAGAAGCAGCCAUCAUUUAAAGAAAGCGUAAUAGCUCACUGGUCGAGUCGGCCUGCGCGGAAGAUGUAACGGGGCUAAACCAUGCACCGAAGCUGCGGCAGCGACGCUUAUGCGUUGUUGGGUAGGGGAGCGUUCUGUAAGCCUGCGAAGGUGUGCUGUGAGGCAUGCUGGAGGUAUCAGAAGUGCGAAUGCUGACAUAAGUAAC